CUACAACUCGCAUGCUACUCCUCCUACACCGUUUAAGCUAGAAACGCUGUUCCAAUGGUCUCGAUCGUGUUGCUUGUAUACAACUUUUUGAUAUGUUAUACUUUUUCCGUUAUUCACUUUGUCCUCUUUAUCUCUUCCAUCCGUUUUCAUGGGAUUUCUCAAGAUUCUAAAGCUUCGCAUUGUGACAUCCUUACUACCAAUGGCAAUUCUCUGGUGUCGUAAGGAUUGGACCAAAAUGCAGCGGAAGACGAAGCUUAUGACAGAACCACCCACCAAACCAGGACCAAGCAGUGGAGGAAGGAGCAGCAGAGGAGCUAUAAAGAGUCAUGGACUUGGGAGGAGAUCCUGGAUGGGGCAGGACCAUGGCACCAGGUGGGGGAGUACCGGCACCCUAAGGAGGAGCUGGAGGCAGCUAAGGCGGAGCGGCGCCAUUACGAGGUGAUAUACGCAAGAAUGGGCAAGUACGACAGGCAGCCCCCCCAAAAUAUUUGAGGGGGCACACGGGUAGUAUGGCUAAGUCAGGUCGUAGACCUGAGCCAACUCCCCGUGCUUAUUAUGGGGAGCAACGGAUCAUGAAGGCACCGAGCUAUGUGUAAAUAUGCACGGCAGCCAUCAUGCCUCAGCACAGCCCAGUUUGCCCUGUGCCAGCACUCCGCCCAUGCCGGGCUACGGUAACAAUCCAGCCAGAACGGGUUGUGCAGGUUGUGCGCUCUAGACCUCCAGUGUGUAGUCAAGGCCUCGUGUAUCCAGUUCCUGUUCCUCGCACUAGCCUUGAGGUGCGUGUCACUAGUCUGGCGUCUCCAAAGCCAGCCCCACGCAUCAGGUCUCUAGUGCACCUGCCCAGUCCAGUACGUCCUGUUCCUGCUCCUCGCACUAGCCUUGAGGUGCGCGUCCCUAGUCUGGCUCCUCCAAAGCCAGCCUCACGCACCAGGCCUAUAGUGCGCAGUCCCCAUCUAGAGCUUCUGGCAACAGUGCCCCGUCUAGAGCUUCCGGCGACAGUGCCCCGUCUAGAGCUUCCGGCAACAGUGCCCCAUCUAGACCUUCCGGCGACAGUGCCCCGUCC
rnacentral:lncRNA from 1 species